ACACGGAGGAAAAGAAACUAACAAGGAUUCCCCUAGUAACUGCGAGUGAAGCGGGAAAAGCUCAAAUUUAAAAUCUGGCGGCUUUGGUCGUCCGAGUUGUAUUCUAGAGAAGUGUUUUCCGCGUUGGACCGUGUAUAAGUCUCUUGGAAUAGAGCGUCAUAGAGGGUGAGAAUCCCGUCUUUGACACGGACUACCAAUGCUUUGUGAUACACUCUCAAAGAGUCGAGUUGUUUGGGAAUGCAGCUCAAAAUGGGUGGUAAAUUCCAUCUAAAGCUAAAUAUUGGCGAGAGACCGAUAGCGAACAAGUACCGUGAGGGAAAGAUGAAAAGCACUUUGGAAAGAGAGUUAAACAGUACGUGAAAUUGCUGAAAGGGAAACGCUUGAAGUCAGUCGCGUUAGCUAGAACUCAACCAGGCUUGCUUGGCGUAUUUUCUAGUUAACGGGCCAGCAUCAGUUUUGACCGCAGGAAAAGGGCCAGGGAAAUGUGGCAUCUUCGGAUGUGUUAUAGUCUCUGGUCGUAUACUGUGAUUGGGACUGAGGACCGCAGCACGCGCAAGCUGUGCUUAGGAUGCUGGCGUAAUGGCUUUAAACGACCCGUCUUG
rnacentral:rRNA from 1 species